GCCGGGCGUGGUGGCGGGCGCCUGUAAUCCCAGCUACUUGGGAGGCUGAGGCAGGAGAAUCGCUUGAACCCAGGAGGCAGAGGUUGUAGUGAGCUGAGAUCACGCCACUGCACUCCAGCCUGGGCGACAGAGCAAGACUCUGUCUCAA
rnacentral:SRP_RNA from 1 species